ACACAGCGUCCUGAAAUGAUUCAGGUCUUGACUUUGUGUUGGCCAUGGAGGAGUUGUUAUUGUCUCCAGAAGUAGGAAAUCCAUCACUGCACUUCUCUGGGGCCAUGUGUUCUCGUGUAAAACCGGCCUUGUGAGCGCAUGAUGGUUGUCAAAUUGUGGCACUACAAUCUUCUCCAAGAUGUCCCUUAGAUAUUAGUGGCAAUUAAGAAUGCCUUUCACUAUAAUAUAUUUAACUUAAUCGAAUGAAAACUGCCCCAGAAUAUUCCCUGUGCGCUUCAUAUGAUAAAUCUUGUGACACCAUUUUCUUAAAAAAGGAAACUGUUAUAUUUUUAGGUAACACAGAUCUCGUCUAUGUUAACAAGGACAAACUGGAAGCUCAGUACAAAAAGGAACUUGCUAAAAAAGAUGGAGAGAUAGCUGACUUGAAAUCUGCAAAAGAAGGACUUGAGCAACAAAUUGAACAAAACAACAUUGACCAUGCUGAACUGGAGGAAAGAAUGAAGAAAGAAAGUGAUGAACACAUGUCAGAGAUAGAAGGGAAGAACGUACAAAUUGAAGCUCUGAAGACAGCGUUGUCAAAGUCAAAUGAUGAGUUGUAGCAGUCUCAAGCAAAAUGUGAGAACGUGGAGAAGACACUGCGGGAAGAACAGGAGGCAUACGAUGCUCUAGUGGGUGUUCCAAGGUCACAGUCUCCAGACAGGGUGGACAAUACAGAGCAAAUCCAACGUGCAGGUUCCACUGAGACAGCGUGCCAGUUUUCGACUGAGUCCUGUUGUGAUGAGAGUCAGCUUCGUCUUCUUCCAUGCCUUCAUUCUGCCUGCAAGCCAUGCCUUGAUCACCGAGCUGCACAGACAGGAAUGGAAGAGGAAUGCAUCCACUGUCCUUCCUGUGGCCGCGAGGUCACCAUGGAACAGACAUCAGUAGACCAUGUUAGACGAA